rnacentral:rRNA from 1 species
GCUGAUGCAGCGACGCCGCGUGAGGGAUGGAGGCCUUCGGGUUGUGAACCUCUUUCGCCAGUGAAGCAGGCCUGCCUCGUUUGUGGGUGGGUUGACGGUAGCUGGAUAAGAAGCGCCGGCUAACUACGUGCCAGCAGCCGCGGUAAUACGUAGGGCGCGAGCGUUGUCCGGAAUUAUUGGGCGUAAAGAGCUCGUAGGCGGCUGGUCGCGUCUGUCGUGAAAUCCUCUGGCUUAACUGGGGGCUUGCGGUGGGUACGGGCCGGCUUGAGUGCGGUAGGGGAGACUGGAACUCCUGGUGUAGCGGUGGAAUGCGCAGAUAUCAGGAAGAACACCGGUGGCGAAGGCGGGUCUCUGGGCCGUUACUGACGCUGAGGAGCGAAAGCGUGGGGAGCGAACA